AUUGAACGCUGGUGGCAUGCCUUACACAUGCAAGUCGAACGGUAACGGGCCUUCGGGUGCCGACGAGUGGCGAACGGGUGAGUAAUGCAUCGGAACGUACCUUUCAGUGGGGGAUAACGUAGCGAAAGUUACGCUAAUACCGCAUAUUCUGUGAGCAGGAAAGCAGGGGAUCGCAAGACCUUGCGCUGAUUGAGCGGCCGAUGUCAGAUUAGCUAGUUGGUGAGGUAAAGGCUCACCAAGGCGACGAUCUGUAGCGGGUCUGAGAGGAUGAUCCGCCACGCUGGAACUGAGACACGGUCCAGACUCCUACGGGAGGCAGCAGUGGGGAAUUUUGGACAAUGGGGGCAACCCUGAUCCAGCCAUGCCGCGUGAGUGAAGAAGGCCUUCGGGUUGUAAAGCUCUUUCGGCCGGGAAGAAAUCGUAUGGGUUAAUACCCUGUGCGGAUGACGGUACCGGCAUAAGAAGCACCGGCUAACUACGUGCCAGCCGCCGCCGUAAGAC
rnacentral:rRNA from 1 species